AUACUACCCCCUCCGUUCAGAAAUACUUAUCGUGUAAAUGGAUGUAAUUUAGAUGUAUUUUAGUUCUAAAUACAUUCAUUUGUAUCCAUUUUAUGAUAAGUAAUUCCGGACGGAGGAAAUAUAAG
rfam:Hordeum vulgare subsp. vulgare, WGS project CAJW01000000 data, contig: morex_contig_64630